AACCGAGCCAGGUGAGCUGUUUUGCACUUGGAAGAAAUUUUGCAUUGUGCAACUCAACUCCCCAGCCUAAGGAAUGUAUUAAUAGAUAUGUUCUCAUUCCAGAGAGUGAGGUAGAGGUUGAAAGUUGUUGCCAGAGCAACAGCAAACUCACCUUUCAAUUCCCUUUCAGGAAUAGAAGGAAAAAAAAAAAAAAAAAGAGUCCUUGGGAAUUGAGAAGCCAAUGAGGAUACUCGCUUAAGCUGAAGUCAUCGUAUCUGUGAGCCAGCUGGGGACGCUGUCGCAACACGCAAACAGCAAGGUGUAAGGUACAUAUUAAUAAUCUGCUUGAUGGGAUAAGAUUCCAAAAUAUUUUUUCCCCUGAAAACUUUGGACCCUUUCGACACGGUGGUAUUUUUUUGUGCCAUGGCCAUAGUAUGCAGAAUUCCCAGGCCAGGAUCCUUAACCUGCGAAGCCAUCAGGUAACUCCUAGUGGGUUUUUUAAUG
rnacentral:lncRNA from 1 species